rnacentral:lncRNA from 1 species
GCACACUGACCAGCAAUGUAGCUCCUCUGGCACAGAAUCACUGCAGUGAGCUGAUGAAGAUCUUUUCAGUCCCUGGGCUUCCCAGUGCUGUCAUGACAACAGCUACUUUCUUGGGCCUGCUGAAACCCCUUUUCACAUUCAGUGAAUGCCAUGCACAGAAAAGUAGGUUGUUUUCAUCAAUCUCCCUCUCAUUCUGAGAUCUGUUUGAUUGAGAAUAGGGAGGGAUGCUGUAAUACUAUGGACUUGGCUUAUUUUCCAAGAACACGGCCCACAUGGAGCUUACAGGAAAGGUUUGAAGAGUUAUGACUUGGAAACAUAAUUCUGAUAGCUGAGUAUAUAAAUAUAAUAUCUGUAAUAAAGACUUUCCCUUAGUGGCAAAUGACAAUUCAGUUAUAUUGGAAUUACAUCAGUUUCCAUUACUUCGAGCGUGACUUCUGCUGUUCGGUGAACGCUGUAGCAACACAAAGAUAUGACAAUGCCUGUGUCUUUUAACAUGGAAAUCAUACCUCAGCUUUACAGAAUCACAGAAGAGUUGAGGUAGGAAGGCAUCUCUGGAGAUCAUCUAGUCCAAAGCCCCUGCUCAAAACAGGCAGCUACAGCAGGUUCUUCAGGACCAUAUCCAGAUGUGUUGUGAGCUGUUCUCAGGAACGGAGACUCCCAAACCUCUCUGGGCCAUCUCUUCCAUGCUUAACAACUCUCAUGGUGAAAAAAGUUAUUAUGUUUAAAUAGAAUUUUCUGUAUUUUACUUCCUGCUCAUUUCCUCUUGCCCCUUACCGCUGAGAAGAGUCUGGCUCUAACUUUUACCUUUUCCACCAGGUAUUUAUAUGACCCGCCCUCCUCCCCCCCCCACCCCACCUCAGCCUUCACACCAUGGGCUGAGCAGUCCCAGCUCCCUCAGCCUCUCACCAUCUGGGCAGAGGCCCCAGUCCCUUCAGGGCCCCUGGCUGGGCCCACUGCAGCCCACAGCUGUGGGUGGAAGGACACAUGUUCACAUGAGCUUGAUCUUCAAAAGAAUCAAGAUUCUUUUGAGAGAAAAAAAAGAAAAGAAAAGAAAAGCACAAGCCCCAUAACUACAUUUCUAAAGGGAAAUUUUUAUCUAUUUUUUUUUUAAUGUUAAAAAAAAAAAAAGUUAAUUGUUCUACUAAAAAAGUGUAUUCUAGAUAAGGCCAUACACUGGAGAAAGGGAUUUUCAAAGCAAUCCUAGAAGAGCAUGGAAAAGCUGCUGAAUGUUUGUACUCCUUCCAAACUGUGAUUUGUAUUUAAUUAGCAUUCAAUUCAUUAUUCAUUUCUGCUUGGUUGUAAUGGUUACACACCGGUUUUGUAACAUGCAAGAUCUUGAUUACUUUUCUUGUUUUGAAAAGAAUCUCCAUGUGUGCAAGGAGAGACUCUGCUCUUGACACAUAUCUACCCUUUUUAGGAAAAAAAAAGCCUGCUGUUAUUUACUGACCGGUGUGCUUGGGCAGAAUUCCCCUCUGCUGGAAUCGCCCCCUCUGCCUUUAUUGUAAUGGUGUGCAGUAACUGACCUGCAGAAAGUAAAUGGACACAGUGGUGGCAGCCCUGUAUUUGUGGUUGGGUGCACACCUUCAUUUAAAGCUGGAAUCCAGCUCUGUUUUGCAUAAGAAUGUAGAAAACAUGCAUUCCCCAAAUUAACAGCAUGUAAAGAGUCUUUAAUCUGGAAGCAAAUAUGUUAAUUAUCUCUGGGUAAAACUAAAUGGCACCCUUUAAGGAUGUUGAUUCCUCUGAAACACAAGAAUUUUUGCUGCUUUUUUUUUGAAAAAGAACAAACUGUGCCAGUAAAAAAUGCACACAAGGAGGUAUGAGGACAAGAGGAAGUCUCUGGUAAUUUAUAUAAAUACACUGUUUGAAUUAAAAUGUAAACAUAUUGACGAUAGUUACAACAAAAUGAUUCUCUAUGUUAUUCUAGAGUGUUGUGUAUAUUGUUUUUUGAUGCUCCCAUGAUAUAUUUUAUCAGCCAUGUGCAUUUUCCAAUGUGCAAACCUUUCUGAAUAAUUUCAAAGGAAAACAUACUUUAAUAUAUACUUUCACAGGUCCGUGGAACUCAUGAUGACUCAGACAGGGUGACAGGAGUCACAUUCAGAGAGAUGUACCAGGGCAGAAGCACUGCAAGUUACUUCUGCUUCUACAGCAAAUUCUGAGCUGGUUCUCAGCUGUGUCUGUAAUAACUGCUAGCGUACCUUACCUACACAGUAUCUAUUUGAAAUUCUGUGCUUCAGUUUCAGUUUUUGCAACAAGCAGUAACCUACACAAAUGAACCAUAUUAUGAGGCCUUCCAAUUCCUCGCGCUCAAAAGCACAUCUUCAUGCUUUUUGCUUUUGUGUUUCUUUUGGUAUCACAUAUGGCAGCAAAGUUGACAUCAAUUAGAAUGUAUUUUAAAGAAGAGGUCUGAUGCGUUUGUAAAAUAUCUGGGUCCUUUCACUUGUGUCAGAGUAUCUAUUUGCAGCAUGGGCUUCCUCCUACUGUUUGUGUGCAUACACGGCUCAGCACACGGGUGCUCUGAUCUUGCAAGUUGUUACAAUAGCUCAAAUGCAAAUAUAGUGAACAUUAGGAUGUGCUUUUGGAUAUGUUCCAGAACUACAGAAUGGGGUUUUCCAUUCCUGAACUUACUGCUGGCACUUUAUUACAUACAUUUUUCCCCAUCCCUGUAGUGUGCAUGGUUACAUUUAAUAGAGCUGUCUGAAGCGUUUUGAAUUUUCCUGACUCAACAUCAACAGAAUGGCAUUAUAUUAUAUAUAUUAUAUAUAUAUAUAUAUUUUUUUCCCCUAGUUACCACUAAAAUCAGUUCCUUGUUGUAGCUCAUGGCAUGAGUUUCCCGGCCAGCUGUGCUGCACAACAGAAGGGGCAGUGUGUCCCUACGAGGGUUGUAACAAGACCUGGGUAAGGGAGAAGGGGCAGACAGACAGAAGCAAUACCUAGAAGCCACUCUGCCAAAGUGUUUUUCAACACCAGAGACAGCUCACAGGCCAGUGGGGACAGAAGAGGGACUUCAGCUGACACACAUUUCUGGCAACCUUCCUUUGACUGAACCAACCUAAACAGUGCUUGAAUUUUCCUAUGGUCAUGGGCCUGCUUUCAAGCAAACUACACAGGGGAUGAUUAAAGCUUUAAGAAGAAAACACCGUGGAAGGGAGUUUAAAGGGAGAAUUAACUGGGCGCUGUAGGAGAGGGUGGGGUUGGGAUUGCAGAAUAAGGCGGUUUCAGUCUGGUCUGAAGGGAAGGGUGAGAAAUGAGUGCUGGAUGCUUACUUGAAGCAAUGGGCGAUUGCAGCCUCUUCCUCAAGACCUUGAAUUUGGAUGAGGAAGGGUGGGGCAGAGAGAAGGGGAGGGUGCAGUCUCCAGAGACUGCUGAGCAGGCAGAAUGUUGUGAGCAAGGUGAGUCAUGAGGUGCAGGCAGCAGGAAUUUCCUGCAGUGUUUAAGACACGCAUGUGGAGGCAGGAGCAGGAGAGUGCAGUGACCAAGUGUCUUGUUUCACAGAACUUCCCAUGCCAUCCUAACAAGUGCAGGAUGUCAUUUUUUCCUGUAUCUUAGGCCAAUGGUACAUAUUUUUCUCUCUUUAUCGGCCUUUCUCACUGGUUUGUUUUGCUUGCAUACUAUGCCUCAUAGUAUUAUGACGCUGACCAACACUGG